CAGCCGCCGCGGGAAUACGAAGGGUGCAAGCGUUAGUCGGAAUUACUGGGCGUAAAGCGUGCGUAGGCGGUUUGUUAAGUCUGCUGUGAAAUCCCCGGGCUCAACCUGGGAAUGGCAGUGGAUACUGGCAAGCUAGAGUGUGUCAGAGGAUGGUGGAAUUCCCGGUGUAGCGGUGAAAUGCGUAGAGAUCGGGAGGAACAUCAGUGGCGAAGGCGGCCAUCUGGGACAACACUGACGCUGAGGCACGAAAGCGUGGGGAGCAAACAGGAUUAGAUACCCCUGUAGUCCCUGUCUCUUAUAC
rnacentral:rRNA from 1 species